rnacentral:rRNA from 1 species
GAUGAACGCUGGCGGCGUGCUUAAUACAUGCAAGUCGAGCGAACAGACGAGGAGCUUGCUCCUUUGACGUUAGCGGCGGACGGGUGAGUAACACGUGGAUAACCUACCUAUUAGACUGGGAUAACUUCGGGAAACCGGAGCUAAUACCGGAUAAUAUAUUGAACCUCAUGGUUCAAUAGUGAAAGACGGUUUUGUUGUCACUUAUAGAUGGUUCCGCGCCGCAUUAGCUGGUUGUUAAGGUAACGGCUUACCAAGGCAACGAUGCGUAGCCGACCUGAGAGGGAGGUCGGACACACUGGAACUGAGACACGGUCCAGACUCCUAAGGGAGGCAGCAGUAGGGAAUCUUCCGCAAUGGGGGAAAGCCUGACGGAGCAGCGGCGCGUGAGUGAUGAAGGUCGUCGGAUCGUAAAACUCUGUUAUUAGGGAAGAACAAAUGUGUAAGUAAAUAUGCACGUAUUGACGGUACCUAAUCAGAAAGCCACGGCUAACUACGUG